AGGAAAGUAAAGAAGGGCGCAUGGCGGAUGCCUUGGCUCUCGGAGGCGAUGAAGGACGUGAUAAGCUGCGAUAAGCUUUGGGGAGGUGCAAAUGACCUUUGAUCCAGAGAUUUCCGAAUGGGACAACCCAAUAUCUUGAAGAGGUAUUAUCCAACGUUGUUGGAGGCUAACGCAGGGAACUGAAACAUCUUAGUACCUGCAGGAAAAGAAAAUAAACAAUGAUUCCCCCAGUAGUGGCGAGCGAACGGGGAACAGCCCAAACCAUCCAUGUUACGGCAUGGGUGGGGUUGUAGGACUACGCCGUUGCAUGAAGACAUCAGAGAAGAACUUUCUGGAAAGAAAGACCAUAGAGCAUGACAGUUGCGUAUUCGAAUGUUGUCGAAGCAUAGUAGUAUCCUGAGUAGCGCGGAGCACGAGGAAUUCUGCGUGAAUCUGCCGGGACCAUCCGGUAAGGCUAAAUACUCCCGAGAGACCGAUAGCGAACCAGUACCGUGAGGGAAAGGUGAAAAGCACUUCGAACAGAAGAGUGAAAUAGUUCCUGAAACCGUGCGCCUACAAGCGGUCGGAGCUCGUUAAUGAGUGACGGCGUGCCUUUUGCAUAAUGAACCUACGAGUUGCCUUUGCCGGCAAGGUUAAGUGUGACGACACACGUAUCCGAAGCGAAAGCGAGUCUGAACAGGGCGUAUAGUCGGCAGUGGCAGACGCGAAACCAAGUGAUCUACCCUUGGCCAGGUUGAAGGCUGGGUAACACCAGCUGGAGGACCGCACCAAUAAGCGUUGAAAAGCUUCUGGAUGAGCUGAGGGUAGGGGUGAAAGGCUAAUCAAACUUGGAGAUAGCUCGUACUCCCCGAAAUGCAUUUAGGUGCAGCCUUGCGGGUUACUGAUGUGAGGUAGAGCGACUGAUAAGAUGCGAGGGCUUCACCGCCUAUCAAGUCUUGACAAACUCCGAAUGCGCAUCAGUUCUACCGCAGGAGUGAGGGCAUGGGUGCUAAGGUCCGUGCCCGAGAGGAGAAGAAUCCGGACCACCUGCUAAGGUCCCGAAAUGACAGCUAAGUUAAACUAACGAAGUCUGACUGCUAAGACAGCUAGGAUGUUGGCUUGGAAGCAGCCAUUCAUUUAAAGAGUGCGUAACAGCUCACUAGUCGAGGAGUCGGGCGUGGAUAAUAAUCGGGUAU
rnacentral:rRNA from 1 species